AUCAGUGUAACAGGUCUGCCCGUUUCCAGCCCGCUAAGGCAGGUCUUAAAGCCACGCGCCGAAAAUAAAACAGCCACCACUGACGCCAGCAAGAACGAGUAUAAUCAUGUCAAGACGCUGGAGGCUGUGUUGACCUUUAAGUACAGCGGUGGAGCAGGUCAGGUGGAGGGCUACUACCGAGAGCUCAGUCUGGGGGUCCGAGUCGAUGUCGAACCAUCAGUUUUCUUCACGAGGGUCAGCACUUUACCUGCCACCAGCACUCGUCAGUGUCACCUGCUGCUGGAUGUGUUCAACUCCACUGAACACCAGCUCACGCUCUCUGCCAAAAACAACCAGGACCUGGUGCUGCAUGCCAGCGAGUGU